rfam:Pseudomonas sp. Bc-h sc_002, whole genome shotgun sequence.
GUCUGACAUGGCCCGACGGUGGCAAGUCUUGCCCCGACGUACGGCCGUGGAGCCAUGAC